GACGAACGCUGGCGGCGUGCUUAACACAUGCAAGUCGAACGGAAAGGCCCUGCUUUUGUGGGGUGCUCGAGUGGCGAACGGGCGAGUAACACGUGAGUAACCUGCCCUUGACUUUGGGAUAACUUCAGGAAACUGGGGCUAAUACCGGAUAGGAGCUCCUGCUGCAUGGUGGGGGUUGGAACGUUUCGGCGGUUGGGGUUGGACUCGCGGCUUAUCAGCUUGUUGGUGGGGUAGUGGCUUACCAAGGCUUUGACGGGUAGCCGGCCUGAGAGGGUGACCGGCCACAUGGGGACUGAGAUACGGCGCAGACUCCUACGGGAGGCAGCAGUGGGGAAUAUUGCACAAUGGGCGGAAGCCUGAUGCAGAAACGCCGCGUGCGGGAUGACGGCCUUCGGGUUGUAAACCGCUUUCGCCUGUGACGAAGCGUGAGUGACGGUAAUGGGUAAAGAAGCACCGGCUAACUACGUG
rnacentral:rRNA from 1 species